UAUCGAUAUUAGGAUAAUUUUUUUUUGCAAUUUGCCCCCGAUUAACAUAAGAAGGGAAAAAAUUGUAGAAUAAUAACUAAAAAAAAAAAAGAAGAGAAAUAUAAGAGUGUGCAUUAUUUUUUGCACUCUCAGCUUUCUGGCUUCUGCUCUCUUUCCCUUUACAAACUUUACACAAACAAAUUCAUCUCUCAACUAUAGCUUUCACCAUAGACGCAUUCUUCAGAUGCAAUGUCGUCACUCUGCGCCGCAGCCUCUGCUUCUUCUUCCAAAUGGCCUCAAACCCACUUCGCCGGAAUCUCAGUACAACGUCCCCGCCGCUCCGAUUCGGUACCCAACGGCGGUCGGCGCCGCUUUCAUUGACGGAUACGCCUUCUUGGAGCUAGCGAGAGCCACAUUUGCUUUGGCGGCCAAACCACAUAAAUCCGUUAGAGAGAUCGGCAGAUGGGCUUCCGCGAGCGGGAUUAGAAAAUAAAUUUCCCCCAAUUCGAGCUCUCUGUCGCUGGAGAUUUGGGGAAUAAUUGAAUCGAUUUUCAUAGAUUCUGAACUACAGAGGAAACAGUUGGGAUUUUGAUUGAGAAUGUGGCCGGCCUUUACAGGGUGCCUCAAUUCUUGUAGUCUACCAUCUGUAUGAAUAAUUUUCGCAGUGAAGGGCCAAUUCGUGAGGCUAGCAUUUGAGUGCUGAGAUGAGGCACAGACUCCCAUGGUUUUUGGUUUUCUAGAGAAAUGGAUGAGGGAAAAAUGGUGAAGUGGGUUGAAUGGAGAAGGAGAUGGGUACGUAGUGAAUCAUUUCAUAUAUUUAUAUACAAAGAAAAUUGAGAGAAGAUUAGCAGGGCAUGUGAAUGAUGGGGCCAUGAUAAGACCGUAUAAAAACGGCGGAAAUGCACUGAAUAUGAGGGGAGAGAGAGAUAGAGAGAGUGGGAGACCCCAUUCUCGACCAACCGACUGUUCAACGUGUCUCUCACUAUUUGACAAUGACAACAAUUGGAUGAAGAAGAUGGGAGAAUGAAGACUGAAAAUAGUACCAAUCAAAUUACUUCUUGGACUGCAACAGAGAAGGAAAAGGGCCUUCUGCUGUAUCAUAACAGUUCCUUGCAGUACUGAAUUAUACUAUCCAGAUUCCGUCUCGUGAGGAAAAGGGAAAGUUCACUUUCUGAAAAAGGAAAAUUUGCUGAAAUUGCGGUGCUGAUUCAUGAUAGAAGAUGCAAAUUAACUAUAUGGUAAAAAUGGAUCCAUGGGGUCGAAAUUUCUUAGUUUCACGGUUGGUAUUGAUCAAGUAGAGCAAAUUUUGGAGUACCUUUUACGAGGGUCUGUAUCAGAAAAAGCGUGCUCCAUUCAUCAUCUUUCAGGAAAAAUCUCAAAGCUAUACUAUUUAGGCAAGUUAAAGAAGACCCAAACACAUUCAAUUAACAGAUUCGUCAAGAAUGAAGUGGACAUAAAAAUACCAGGGGAAUUGGAGUGGUUUCGUUCUGAAAAUUGGCAAAACUGUCCGGCAACUCAUGUAACAUGCACAUGGCUACAAAUUUCUAAACCCCUGAUUUGCCCUUGUCUGAUUAGGUAAUUGUAGAAUAAAAAACAGGUUUGAGUUAUGUUUACAAGUAUUUGCUUAUAUUUCUCAAGAACAAUUGUCCUCCUAAUUUUGCUCAUGUAGUUAA